GUGGGGAAUAUUGGACAAUGGGCGAAAGCCUGAUCCAGCCAUGCCGCGUGUGUGAAGAAGGUCUUCGGAUUGUAAAGCACUUUAAGUUGGGAGGAAGGGUAGUAACCUAAUACGUUGCUACUUUGACGUUACCGACAGAAUAAGCACCGGCUAACUUCGUGCCAGCAGCCGCGGUAAUACGAAGGGUGCAAGCGUUAAUCGGAAUUACUGGGCGUAAAGCGCGCGUAGGUGGUUCAGUAAGUUGGAAGUGAAAUCCCCGGGCUCAACCUGGGAACUGCUUUCAGAACUGCUGAGCUAGAGUACGGUAGAGGGUGGUGGAAUUUCCUGUGUAGCGGUGAAAUGCGUAGAUAUAGGAAGGAACACCAGUGGCGAAGGCGACCACCUGGACUGAUACUGACACUGAGGUGCGAAAGCGUGGGGAGCAAACAGGAUUAGAAACCCCUGUAGUCC
rnacentral:rRNA from 1 species